rnacentral:rRNA from 1 species
ACGGGAGGCAGCAGUGAGGAAUAUUGGUCAAUGGCCGGAAGGCUGAACCAGCCAAGUAGCGUGCGGGAUGACCGCCCUAUGGGUCGUAAACCUCUUUUGACAGGGAAUAAAGUGAGGCACGUGUGCCUUUUCGCAUGUACCUGUCGAAUAAGCAUCGGCUAACUCCGUGCCAGCAGCCGCGGUAAUACGGAGGAUGCGAGCGUUAUCCGGAUUUAUUGGGUUUAAAGGGAGCGUAGGCGGAACGUCAAGUGAGCUGUGAAAUGUAGGCGCUCAACGUCUGCACUGCAGUGGAAACUGGCGUCCUUGAGUGCGUGAGAGGCGGGCGGAAUUCGUCGUGUAGCGGUGAAAUGCUUAGAUAUGACGAAGAACUCCGAUUGCGAAGGCAGCUCGCUGGGCCGCAACUGACGCUGAAGCUCGAGGGUGCGGGUAUCGAACAGGAUUAGAUACCCUGGUA